rnacentral:rRNA from 1 species
UACAGAGGGUGCAAGCGUUGUUCGGAAUUAUUGGGCGUAAAGCGCGUGUAGGCGGCUUUGCAAGUCGGGUGUGAAAGCCCUCAGCUCAACUGAGGAAGUGCGCCCGAAACUGCAGAGCUUGAGUGCCGGAGAGGGUGGCGGAAUUCCCCAAGUAGAGGUGAAAUUCGUAGAUAUGGGGAGGAACACCGGUGCGAAGGCGGCCACCUGGACGGUAACUGACGCUGAGACGCGAAAGCGUGGGGAGCAAACAGG